UGGCGGCGUGCGUAACACAUGCAAGUCGAACGGAGAAUUAUCUAAGUUUACUUAGAUAAUUUUUAGUGGCGGACGGGUGAGUAACGCGUGGGUAACCUGCCCUUUAACACCGGGACAACCCUUGGACAACGAGGGCUAAUACCGGAUAGAGUUAAGCCUUGGCACCAAGGCAUAAGGAAAGAUGGCCUCUGAAGAUGCUAUCGAUAAAGGAUGGACCCGCGUCUGAUUAGCUAGUUGGUGGGGUAAAGGCCUACCAAGGCGACGAUCAGUAGCCGGCCUGAGAGGGUGAACGGCCACACUGGGACUGAGACACGGCCCAGACUCCUACGGGAGGCAGCAGUGGGGAAUCUUCCGCAAUGGACGAGAGUCUGACGGAGCAACGCCGCGUGUAUGAUGAAGGUCUUCGGAUUGUAAAGUACUGUCUUUAGGGAAGAAUGGUUUUCUUGAAAACAUUGAGAAGACAUGACGGUACCUAAGGAGGA
rnacentral:rRNA from 1 species